UCUUUCCUCUCUAAUGUGUUGAGGCGGCCACAUGAAAAAAACCAAUCUAGAAUGAUCUAAACCUUAUACAGUAGGCUAAAAAUAUGUGUGCCUCAAAAAAUUCCAGGCGCAUGUAUCAGUCCUUAACUGCAGAGAAAUAAAGUAUGUCAAUACUCCUCAAUUUUACAGAAUGAGACCGUUAACAGCUGAGAACCAUCGUACGAUACUUCUACCAACUGUUUCAGGUAUAUUCCGCUUGUUCAUAAAACUAACCAGAAUUAAGGAAACUCGCUUAUUAUUAGAAACAGUAAUCAAUCUUUCAAAUACUCUAUGGUACCUUAAUGAAACGGAGUAUUUAUGUCAAAUUCUACGGAAAAUCCGUAGCAUGGAACUACACCGGACGCCAUUUUGAAGUUAAGAUACUAUCGCAUAUAGUAUGCGAUUCCACGAGCUGUUACUAUGAAUAUUACUAAAAUUCCUCUGAGGUCAUACUCUUUCGAAUGAUUGACACGUCAGCUGCUGUGCUUGGCCAUCCUAUCAGUUCCAUUUUUGAAGGACUCUUAUUAAAAGUCAUAAGGACUUAGCCUGUCAAAGUGGAACUGACCUUAUAGCACGAUUAUACAAGGUGAUUCCAAUAUAAUCAACAUUCUCACCAUACGCUUGCAAGUUCAGAAUUAUACAUAUAAAUUCAAAUUAAGGCAUACAAAUUAUAUCAUGAAAUAGUAAUACUGAGAAUUUAUGAGCACCAUAUCACAAAUAAAUGAUGCAUCGCUCUUUCUUUUUCAUGAGAAGUGCCAAUGGCAGUAGGUUGUCGGAUAGAAGCGGAAUCAAUGUGUCUUUACGAGUGUCGUACGUACGUCGAUAUAGGGCAUAAUUAAAUGACCCUGAAAACUAUAACGUUUCCAGUUUUACAUUAAAUAAUGCAAAACCGAAAAUUAAAAUAUAUUCGAAAACACCUUU